CGUUCAACCUCACCCUUCCUUGUUUUUCCCGCCUAUAUACCACCGUCGUCAGCUUACCCUGUGAAGGACGAAUAGUAAGCACAAUUGGCACAGCCCAAUACGUCAGGUCGAGGUGUAGUGCAUGAGAGGGGAAGAAAUGGGCUACAUUCGCUAGCAACUAGCGAAUACGAAUGAUGUGUUGAAAUACACAGCUGAAGGAGGAUUUAGCAGUAAGCAAGAAGCAGAGUGUCUUGCUGAAACCGGCUCUAAAGCGCGCACACACCGCCCGUCACCCUCCCCGAGCUCCCCGGACCACCUUUAACUAAAGCCCUACAACUGCAAAGGAGAGGAAAGUCGUAACAUGGUAAGCGUACCGGAAGGUGCGCUUGGUAAAAU
rnacentral:rRNA from 1 species